UUUGCCGGCAAGUAGAUCUCUGCAACAUGUUCAGCCACUGAAGCUAAGCAAAGCUGCGCCCGGUCAGUACCUGGAUGGGAGACCACAUGGGAAAGCUAGGUUGCUGUCGGAA
rnacentral:rRNA from 1 species